rnacentral:tRNA from 1 species
GUAUUGAUUGUUCAGUGGUAGAAUUCUUGCCUUCCAUGUAGGAGAUCCGGGUUCGAGUCCCAGCCAUGCA